GACGAACCGUGCAAACGUUAUUCGGAAUCACUGGGCAUAAAGGGCGCGUAGGCGGCUUUCUAAGUCAGGGGUGAAAUCCGGCAGCUCAACUGUCGCAGUGCCUUUGAUACUGGAGAGCUCGAGGGAGGUAGGGGUCUGUGGAACUUCCGGUGGAGCGGUGAAAUGCGUUGAUAUCGGAAGGAACGCCGGUGGCGAAAGCGACGGACUGGAUCUCUUCUGACGCUGAGGCGCGAAGGCCAGGGGAGCAAACGGG
rnacentral:rRNA from 1 species